UGGCAGUCACAUGUUUGGCUUGUGAAAAAGAAUUAGACUCGCACGUGAGAGGGCAAGCUGAAGAUAUAUAUAUGUAAACGAAUUUAUCAUUUCUAACAGUUUAACUUAGGCAGAUUCAACUGAACUUACCAAGUUAUAAUGGAUACAGAAACGAUCAGACAGCGACUCAACAGCACCAAAAGCCCAACAAGAACCGCAAUGUCCCUGAAAUAUAUAAAAAUUAGACCACUAGAGAGAACCAUGAAAUGUGCCAUUUAGCACAUUUAUAAUGGAAAGAAACUAAUUUGGUAGCAGCAAAUCACCUGAUCUGCCAUGCAAGUUCGUCCCAGUGAUUGAUAUGCAAAGAUGGAAAGCAUUAGCAUCCCUAUUAUAGAAUAGAAUUAUAACCCGAAAGGACAGAGCAAGGAAGUGAAAUAACUGACCGAGAAUUCUUCCAAUUGUGCUGCAUUGAGGCCAAGCCUUUCGUGCAUCAAACUCUUCUGGUAACUCCUUAAGUUUUGGAUGAGUCAGAAUAGGAAUUCCCUCUAAAUCACCUUCUCUUGCAGGUUUAACCCCAAGAAGACGCUUAAACUGGGAAACCUGUAUCGACAACCAAAUAUGGACAUAAUUAUAAAUACAUGUUUUCGGUGUAUAGCUGCAUACUGAAUAAGUAUGAGACAUCCAACUAGAAGAAAAUGCAAUCAUCAUUGAUUAAUUAAUAGCAUGCUAUAUUUGUUGGGUUUAAUUGGUGUGAAUGGAAAAUAGAGGGACACAACCUUUGAUCAAAAGACAUUGUUUUGGAAAAGGUGUGACUGUUCAGAUAGUUGUGUCUGUUCAGAAAGAGACACAAUAUCUCGAAUGAACAAACACGACUCUUCCAAAGAAUACACCUUUUAAGUGAACCAUUGUCACCUUUCAGAAGAGGCAUCUGAUGGCUAUAUAAACCUGCUUUCAUCCACAAGUUUGAUGUGAAUGAAAAAUUUUCUGAAAUAAAAACUCUUCUUGUCUUCAAAACAUUCUUUGUGAUCAAUCAAAUCGUUGAGUGAGUUUGACGAAUCCAAUUAUUUGAGGUACCACUAUAGUUGGAUUGAAAGCCAUUUUAUCCUGGGAGGAAGAUUCUAAAACCUCGGAUACAGUGAGGGGAAUUGUUCCUCAAGGACACUCCGUGAAGUCGGGGAACUUGGCUUUAUAUUUCUGUUUCAUCUUAAUUUUUGAAAAAAUAAAACACAUUUGUUAGAAAAAUCACUUUGAUCUUGUGUUGAGGGUGUUUUCGUACUUCAUAGUGUUCUUGUUUUAAACUUGAACUAGUAUUGAAGUUGUUGUGCCUAAAUACAGAUUCUUGUACCCAAAAUCACCAUAAAAUAACAAUCUUAAGGAAUAAACUUAGCAGAAUCUGUAUUGCUUAUUUUUGGAGAUUAAAACUUUAAGCUUUCUACUCUGUUUGAACUUAACUAGUGAUUCGAAGACAUAAAAUCUUCAUCACAAGUUAAAGAUCAUUCGGUUGACGAUUGGAAGUCAUAAAAACUUCAUCGUUCACUAGAAACAAGAAGAAGAGUUUAAAGUUGCUUAAUUUUAUAAAUAGUAUUCUGAAAAUACUAAAUUUUAUUGUCUUGUGGUAUAUAAAAAUUAGACCACUAGAGAGAACCAUGAAAUGUGCCAUUUAGCACAUUUAUAAUGGAAAGAAACUAAUUUGGUAGCAGCAAAUCACCUGAUCUGCCAUGCAAGUUCGUCCCAGUGAUUGAUAUGCAAAGAUGGAAAGCAUUAGCAUCCCUAUUAUAGAAUAGAAUUAUAACCCGAAAGGACAGAGCAAGGAAGUGAAAUAACUGACCGAGAAUUCUUCCAAUUGUGCUGCAUUGAGGCCAAGCCUUUCGUGCAUCAAACUCUUCUGGUAACUCCUUAAGUUUUGGAUGAGUCAGAAUAGGAAUUCCCUCUAAAUCACCUUCUCUUGCAGGUUUAACCCCAAGAAGACGCUUAAACUGGGAAACCUGUAUCGACAACCAAAUAUGGACAUAAUUAUAAAUACAUGUUUUCGGUGUAUAGCUGCAUACUGAAUAAGUAUGAGACAUCCAACUAGAAGAAAAUGCAAUCAUCAUUGAUUAAUUAAUAGCAUGCUAUAUUUGUUGGGUUUAAUUGGUGUGAAUGGAAAAUAGAGGGACACAACCUUUGAUCAAAAGACAUUGUUUUGGAAAAGGUGUGACUGUUCAGAUAGUUGUGUCUGUUCAGAAAGAGACACAAUAUCUCGAAUGAACAAACACGACUCUUCCAAAGAAUACACCUUUUAAGUGAACCAUUGUCACCUUUCAGAAGAGGCAUCUGAUGGCUAUAUAAACCUGCUUUCAUCCACAAGUUUGAUGUGAAUGAAAAAUUUUCUGAAAUAAAAACUCUUCUUGUCUUCAAAACAUUCUUUGUGAUCAAUCAAAUCGUUGAGUGAGUUUGACGAAUCCAAUUAUUUGAGGUACCACUAUAGUUGGAUUGAAAGCCAUUUUAUCCUGGGAGGAAGAUUCUAAAACCUCGGAUACAGUGAGGGGAAUUGUUCCUCAAGGACACUCCGUGAAGUCGGGGAACUUGGCUUUAUAUUUCUGUUUCAUCUUAAUUUUUGAAAAAAUAAAACACAUUUGUUAGAAAAAUCACUUUGAUCUUGUGUUGAGGGUGUUUUCGUACUUCAUAGUGUUCUUGUUUUAAACUUGAACUAGUAUUGAAGUUGUUGUGCCUAAAUACAGAUUCUUGUACCCAAAAUCACCAUAAAAUAACAAUCUUAAGGAAUAAACUUAGCAGAAUCUGUAUUGCUUAUUUUUGGAGAUUAAAACUUUAAGCUUUCUACUCUGUUUGAACUUAACUAGUGAUUCGAAGACAUAAAAUCUUCAUCACAAGUUAAAGAUCAUUCGGUUGACGAUUGGAAGUCAUAAAAACUUCAUCGUUCACUAGAAACAAGAAGAAGAGUUUAAAGUUGCUUAAUUUUAUAAAUAGUAUUCUGAAAAUACUAAAUUUUAUUGUCUUGUGGUCACAGGAAAAAUGACUAACGAAAGUCAAAUGCAAGACGCGGCUACGACUGUGGGGGCAACUAGUAUUGCCUCAACAAGUCGAGCAAAUGCUCUGCAACCAAUGGCACCUGCGGAGAAGCCCGAAAAAUUUGCGGGCAUUGACUUUAAGCGAUGGCAGCAAAAGAUGUUCUUUUACAUCACCACUCUAUGCCUUCAAAGGUUCACUAGUGAGGAUGCUCCUGAGGUGCCCGAGGGAACCUCGGACAAAGAGCAUUUCAUGAUUGUAGAGGCUUGGAAGCACUCAUACCAGAAUUUUUACUGCAUCGGUGCAAGUUUCGCAGGGGCAGGCCUAGGUUGAGUGGUGCUUCGGCACCCAUUAAACCCGAUGCAAAAUAGGUAUAAUUAUAUAAGAAAUGCAUAAAAAUUAUUAUAGGAUGGGCAAAAGCACCCGUGAAACCAAAAAGAUAGUUGAGUUCUUUGAUUUCCAUGCGGAACCUUAAAGCUUUAGGUGUCAAUAUAUAUGUUUGAACUUUCUGAACACCUACGACUCUCAAAUUCUGAGUCCGCCACUAAAGUUUAGUAUCCUGUUAUAAUCCAUAAUGCAAGUUCUGAAAUUUACAGCUAAUUAAACCCAUGAGAUGAAGCUGCAAUUUAGUAGUAAAUUUUGGUUCCCCAGUCUCAUAGACUUUGCUUUCUAGUAUAUGUAGUGUGGUAUCCUGUUGAAGAAGUAGCGUUUUAUAUUGAGUCAUUAAGAAAAUCAUCAUCAAGUUCCACAUUCAGAUUUCUUGCUGAAGGAAAUCCUGCAACUACAUCAAAUUCAAUGCAACACUCAUUUGUUCCUCUUCUAAUCUUGAAGUUACUCUUCCUGCCACGCACACACUAAGGCAUUGUGCAUCGAACUCUUUUGGUAAAUUCUUAAAUUUUGGAUGAGUUAAAAUAGGCAUGGUGUGUGCAUGGGACUGUCUUUUUUAUGGUAUUAUAUAAGAGGAUGAUUUCUGUAGUUGAUCAUCCUAACAUGAAUGUGAAUUGAUUUUUGUAUGUAAACACACCCCUCCUCGUCCUCAUUUAAACCAUUUUUUGUAUGUAGACUCACCCCUCCUCAUCCUCAUUUAAAUUAUCCUCUGCCAAACAUUCAUAGUAUGACUUUAGUAGCUUGAUGCCCUUAUUGCAAUUAGUUGAGGAUAUUGUAGCUUUUCCAUGUUGACAUUGAUGUAUUUGUUUAUUAUUGAUCCAGUCUCAUUUGGUUUUUUAGCUUGAUACCCCUUGUUGCAAAUUCAGGGUGUCUCGUUCAUUAUGCCACUUGGGCAAUUGUUUAAGAUUUCAAAAUUAUUGCCAUCUUUUAUUAGCAUAAAAAAAACAACUCAUAUUUUUCUGGAAAAAAAAAAAUCCAAUUAGAGUUUUACAUAGAAGUGGUUGAAAAGAAUAUUUUCUUAAUCUUAAAUAUUUUCUAAAUGUAUAAUAGUCACUCUGACAUUGAUGAUUUAGAUUUAUUUUUUGAAUUGAAAGUGUUAAUUAAAGGAAAUAGUAAAAUGCAGAAGAAAAUAAUGUAAUUGAUAUACACAGUCAGAUUGAUAAACCAACUUGAUUUAUUUUCUGAUGUUUAUAUUGCUUAUAGAAUAAUAUUGACAGUUCUUGCUACAGUUGCCUUAACCGAAAAAAGUUUUUCAAAAUUAAAAUUGAUUAUGAGAAAGUGUUGACUCUCUCUCUGUUAGAGUUUUCGCCUCACUAAUACCCUUCAUUAGAGUUUUCGCCUUAUGCCUCAAUAUGAUUGAUAUGCCCCUGAAUGCAAUUAGUUGGGUUUUUUUUAGCUUUUGCAAAUGUAAUUGUCUCAUUGGUUUACACUUGAUGAAAGCUUGAAAUAACCAUUCACAUCUUUGUCAUAAUAUGUAUUUGGUUGUCUAAAUCUUAAUCAUUAGUGCAUCUCAACUAUUAACGAUUUAAUGAGUUAAAAUAGAUUUGAAUGAUUAUUAAGUCAUAAACUGAAAAUAAUAACAUACUGAAAAGUGAAUAUUGGAAUAAGUAGUAUUAAUUAUGAAUUAUACAGAUUAAACUGACGAGAUAAAUAUGCAAGUUCACAAGUCAUAUUAUAUUGCUACUAUUAUGUUGAAGAAAUAGUAGGCAAUUUACAUUGAAGCAUUAAGGAAAGCAUCAUCAAGUUCCACAUUCAAAUUUCUUGCUGAAGGCAAUCCAGCAACUACAUCAUGUUCAAUGCCACAUUCAUUUGUUCCUCUUCUGAUUUUGAAGUAUCCAUCCUGUCAUCAUGGAGGUACAUAUACAUUCAGCAUGUUGACAACAAGCUUAUUAAAUGGAUAAGAGUUCAACUUACGAGCACUGACAGGUGAAAAAUGACAUACAACGUGUAACUGGCUAUAGUAAUCUAAAUUUAGUAACUUUUAAUGUAGUAAAUAACUUGCUUUAACCGGUUGAAAGCCUAUUUACGUUGUCAGUAUAUAUAAAUUAAAGACGUACAGAGGUGUGUCAGUUAGCCUAUUUUCAGCAAGAAGUUAGAAUGUCAAUGGUUAAGGAGGUUUUUGGUCAUAUAAAGUGGUGAGAGCAUAAAGAGAAAAUCAAGGACAUACAUCACCCCAGCCUCUAUUCCAAGAAUUAGCAAUGAGCUGCAAGAAGAGAAGACAUAAAGAAGGUGAUUAAAUUUUGCCAAAAUUAUGUAUUAUUUUAAAUAGAAAAUCGAAGGCCAUAACUCGAACACAUCAACAUACCCAAUAAUCCUCUCCCUGCUCACUUGUUCCCCAUCCGAUAAGCUUAACGGCAUGGCCUCCCAUACUUUUCCCUGUUAUAUGCUUGUAAACUCCUGACUUGUAGUGAGCAAAAUCCUGUGAUGAUAAGAAGUUUCAAACAUUGAGAACCGGGAAAGCGUUGCUAGUCCAAAGAGAUAACAAAGGUUUUAUAUAACUUAUAAGCUCAAACAAUGUCUUAUUUCAAAACUGCAUGACAUAAUUUAUAAAACUAGAACUUUUGUACUAUUAAUCCUUCUCCUUGUUACCUGGUAGACAGUAAAAGAGACCUCAACUGGUCCAUUUUCGUAAAUUUCUGCCAUGAUACUGUAGGGAUCACGGCUGAUCCUGUAUGCAUUGACACUAUAAUGUUUUGAUUUCCUCCAUAACAGGUUCUCCUUGACACACCUCCUAUGACACCUUGGCGUGGGAUAUGCAGGUUCGCAUCCAGGGUGGGAACAUCCCUCAUUAUCAAAGUAAGGGUCACACUGCCGGAAUAAACUUAAUUUGUUAGUGAUUGGUCAUAAAGAGCCACACUACUGACUUACUUAGAUGGUUUUACAGAAAGUUGUAAUUUCAUUGAGGUGACAAUAAGUCACCAUUUACCUCUACUGUAACCACUCCCCUACGUCUAAAGUAUCUCCAUGCUGCUAUAGGAUAUCCACCAUCACAACCAUUCCCGCAUAAAAAGCCACAGCACGCUAAGACAUCAUUUACAGACAGAGAGACACUCUGCAUCACACAUUAAAAGUUAAAUAUCAGUGACCAUAACUAUAGUCAAGCUUCACAAGUUUGUGUGCAAAGAUUAGGUGGCAGUCACAUGUUUGGCUUGUGAAAAAGAAUUAGACUCGCACGUGAGAGGGCAAGCUGAAGAUAUAUAUAUGUAAACGAAUUUAUCAUUUCUAACAGUUUAACUUAGGCAGAUUCAACUGAACUUACCAAGUUAUAAUGGAUACAGAAACGAUCAGACAGCGACUCAACAGCACCAAAAGCCCAACAAGAACCGCAAUGUCCCUGAAAUAUAUAAAAAUUAGACCACUAGAGAGAACCAUGAAAUGUGCCAUUUAGCACAUUUAUAAUGGAAAGAAACUAAUUUGGUAGCAGCAAAUCACCUGAUCUGCCAUGCAAGUUCGUCCCAGUGAUUGAUAUGCAAAGAUGGAAAGCAUUAGCAUCCCUAUUAUAGAAUAGAAUUAUAACCCGAAAGGACAGAGCAAGGAAGUGAAAUAACUGACCGAGAAUUCUUCCAAUUGUGCUGCAUUGAGGCCAAGCCUUUCGUGCAUCAAACUCUUCUGGUAACUCCUUAAGUUUUGGAUGAGUCAGAAUAGGAAUUCCCUCUAAAUCACCUUCUCUUGCAGGUUUAACCCCAAGAAGACGCUUAAACUGGGAAACCUGUAUCGACAACCAAAUAUGGACAUAAUUAUAAAUACAUGUUUUCGGUGUAUAGCUGCAUACUGAAUAAGUAUGAGACAUCCAACUAGAAGAAAAUGCAAUCAUCAUUGAUUAAUUAAUAGCAUGCUAUAUUUGUUGGGUUUAAUUGGUGUGAAUGGAAAAUAGAGGGACACAACCUUUGAUCAAAAGACAUUGUUUUGGAAAAG
rnacentral:lncRNA from 1 species